rnacentral:lncRNA from 1 species
AAGUGAUUCAGGGCCCCCCGGGGGAUGGAGGAGCUGGAGGCUGGGGCCAGGACACAGGGCUGCGGGCAGCGGGUCAGCCUCAGUCCGGCUCGCAGUGCCCCUGCCCCCAUUCACCCACAGGCAGGCCAGCCCGGAGCCAGAGACGGGUGACUGAUGGGUCCCAGCUUGAAUGGAAAGUCCAGAUUCCAGGGAGACAGCCUAAGAGGUAGGAGGAAAGCCACUUCUCACAUCUGCAACAAAAUUAAAAACGAAGUACAUAAAAUUCAUUAGUUUACAAAUAGCACUGUUACUUGUUACUCGGGGUAUUAACAAUCUCCUUUUUCGAUUAAAAAUUUUUUUUUAAUUUUUAAUUUUUUUUCUUUCGGUAACGCCCGUGAAAGACGUUUGUUUCAGUUGCCAACAUUUCUGCAGAACUAAUGUGGGUGGAUUGUGACAGAUAUAAUUUCUCCAUCCUACAGUUUCAUCAACUUGAGUUCUGUUAAACUAUACCCGCUGGGCUUAGCUCCUUUUAAAGUUUCCGCUUUGACAGGUAGAUUUAUUAGUCUUGAAAUUUGUACAAAUCAGAUGUCACUCGUGGCAACUUGUCAAAAUGUCAGUCUGGCGAGGCGGCAUGAAAGGCUUUCUGGAGAGGGAGACAGACGUGAGGCAGGCUUUAAAGAACUCCAGCUCGAGCUGUAGGAAGGGAUGGGGGCAUGGCAGCCUCUUGAUCCCGAGGGCUUUACUUUAUUAAAUAUCUCGGUCUGUACAGGGGACGUGACGUCGAAUCUUGGGUCUCAGAGACAUCAAGGCUGACAGCUCCCGAACCAUGGCUCCUGUCCCUUCCAGUGUCAAGUUUCUUUGCUUGUUAUGUUCACUUAGUGGAGAAGGCCAGGGGUGCUUGCAUGGGGGAAGGAGAGCAAAGCCAGGCUGUUUGGUUUCCAAAAGGGCUGGGUGGGUCCGUGGCAAUGGAUGGGCGUUCCAGGCUGGGUGUUCCAGGCUGGGCUCCCCUGGUUGGAACUCGGGGCUGCCUUCAGGCUCAUCAACACAGAUUCUUGAUUUUUUUUUUUUUUUUUUUUUUUUUUUUUUGUCUUUUUGCCAUUUCUUGGGCGCUCCCGCGGCAUAUGGAGUUUCCCAAGCUAGGGGUCCAAUCGGAGCUGUAGCCACUGGCCUAUGCCAGAGCCACAGCAACGUGGGAUCCGAGCCGCGUCUGCAACCUACACCACAAGCUCAUGGCAACGCCAGAUCCUUAACCCACUGAGCCAGGCCAGGGAUCAAACCUGCAACCUCAUGGUUCCUAGUCGGAUUCGUAAACCACUGUGCCAUGAUGGGAACUCCUCUUGAUUUUAUUUUAUUUUAUUUUUUGCUUUUUAAGGCCUCACUCUCAGCACAUGGAAGUUCCCAGGCUAGGGGUCGAAUCGGAGCUACAGCUGCCACCCUAAUUCACAGCCACAGCUAUGUGGGAUCCAAACCACAUCUGCAAUCUACACCACAGCUGACAGCAACGACAGAUCUUUAACCCACUGAGCAAAGCCAGGGAUCAAACCUUCGUCCUCAUGGAUACUAGUCAGGUUCAUUACUGCUGAAGCACAAUGGGAACUCCUCCUCCUCAGAUUCUAAUUCUACUGGGGAGGGAAAGCAGCUGAAGAGAAAAGGGAGCUCUCAGGUGGGAGCCACAGGAGGGGCAGGGGCGGCCCCAUCAUUGCCCCCAGGAGACCUAGGGCCUCGCUUUCCCAGCCUGCCCGAUUCCCAGACUAGCCUGUGCCUCGUUACUUAAUCAAGGAUCCCUCGCUUUGGUCAACUUCCUCAUUAUCUGGUUUGACAUGGCAGGCGAUGUUAUUAAUAGUCAGAAAGCUAUCUGAAUUUUUUUCUCCCUGGGGGGAGGGGGUGGGAGUGCAGGAGAAAGAACCCAGCCUGGCUCUGAAGGCAGUUUUCUUUAAGGCUGGAACCCCGGGUGGAUGGGGACAUUCAGGACUCUGAGAAUGUUUCCCCUCUUGGGGAGCAGGGGGGUUCCUGCUGCCACAUUGGAGAGAAGAUUCUGGAAGCGGAAGUUCUUGCUGGUUGACUGCACUGUUUCCAUCGGUCUGUCUGUCCCGGGCAUUUGGAAGAUGUCCUGUAGAGCUGUAGCGCCCAGUACUCCUACAACCUCUGUCUCCCACUCCCCCAAGAAGUUCUGGCGGGCUUGGUACCUAUGUCUUCAGAGAGAAAGGCAUGGCCUCAUGCUCCCGUAGGCCGGUGCUGGGACCCACUCCCCUAUAACCAGUUCUUCCCUCAUUUUCCCCCUGGGGAGGGGUUGGGGUCAGAGCUGCCAGGCUGACCUCCUCAGUGUUGCUUUCCCGUCCACUCCCACCCUUUCGGGUCCAUUUGUCUGCCUCUGAGAUGUGCCGUCUCAGCAUCAGGCCAAGGCACGACUUGAUCUGGGAGGUGUGAAGCACGCUCGCUCCACCCCAUCUCUCCUCCUCAGUUCCUUGCCUGUUGACUUACAGAAGGCCCUUUUGCAUCAUACGUUCCUGGGAACUCCUGCUCCAAGGCACACACCUCUUUGGUGGGGGGAGGAGGCUCCUGCUUACUGGGGAUUUGGUGACACAUUGUGGAGAGCAAGACGGUGUCCUGUAGAGGCUGCAACUGGGGCCCAAGAGGACCUGCCCCAGCUCAGGAUUGACAUGUAUAUAUAUAUAUAUAUAUAUAUAUAUUUGGCCACUCCAAGGCAUAUGGAGUUCCUGGGUGAGGAAUCAGAUCCGAAAGUUCCCGGGCUAGGGGUCUAAUCAGAGCUGCAGCUGCCGGCCUACACCACAGCCUCAGCAACGUGGGAUCCGAGCCACAUCCAGACCUCCACCAAUGCUUGCGGGAAUGUCAGAUCCUUAACCCACUGAGGGAGGCCAGGGAUGGAACCUGCAUCUUCAUGGAUACUAGUCGGGUUCUCAACCUGCUGAUCCAUAAUAGGAACCCCCUAUCACCGAAUUAUUUUGAGCUGCAUCCUAUUCCUGGGAGUGGAACACACACACACACACACACACACACACACACACACACACACACACGCACACACACGCACACACACCACACACACACACGCACGCACACUUUACCACAUUUACACAUUACCAAGAAGCGCCACAGCUUAGCGAGUUGAAAGACUUCAUCACCAGCCUCCAGCCCGGCCCUUGUUUCCCCUGUGCUGUCUGCCCGGUUCCCUCGUCAAAAAGGAACAGGGAAGAGGCAGUGAGCUGUGAGGAGCACUUCACAGGGGAAGACUCUUUAAAAGAAAUCACUUCGUGUCACGGUGCAGGGUGAUGGCCUUUCAUGUGGCAGAUGCUCACUGGCAGCUCCCCACUUCCCAUUAGAUAGAUCAUUAGGAGUGGAGGGGGGGGGGUCUUCCCGGCCCCUCCUUCCUGGGACAGCCCUGCCAGUCACAGGGGGGCGUGCUGGGGCCACUUUGAAAGGGAGAGCGUUGGGUUUGGGAGGUUAAUGAGUGGAGAACAGAGGAGAAGCCGUGGAAGCUCCUAGCUCAUCAAGAGCCCACAGUCUCUGCUUAGUAAUGUCAGGGCAGGCAGCUGAGAAAGCACAAGGGUGCUGGUGAUGGUGGGGAAGAUGGGGAGGCGGGGAAAGGCAGGG